AUGACGAUUUCCGCUAUGCCGCUGCUAUUGCUUCUUCUUGUCAGCUUGUCUGUAGGUUCUUGUGUGGGUGACCAUCAUCAGCUCCUCAACUUCAUGACAGUGAAAACAAGCUCCCUAAAGCAUAUCGCAGAAGGCGCCGUCUGCUCCGGACACAAGGUGACAAUGCCGUCCGGCGACGGUGUCAGGUGGGUACCGAUGAACCGCCCGCACGGCCCAUGCUCGUCAGCGGCGGCGACUACGGUCGUCGACGGCAUGCUCCUGUGGGACCAGCUACGCACCAGCUCAAUCCGGAGGAAGCUCUCCGGCGGCAGGGCCGGCGAUGGCCUGCCGGUCAUCCACUCCCGUGAAGCCAAAACUAGCAACAUCGACAGCAGUAUGACUGCGAAAAGCACGCUGGGGGGCAGCGGCGGGACAAGCUCCACGACAAUGGAAAGGACCAGCGAACACUUGUACUCCAAGGUGAGCCAAACGGUGGUGGUGGACACGAGCAGCGACAUUCCGUGGGUGCAGUGCCUCCCGUGCCCCGCCCCGCAGUGUCACCUCCAGAAGGACCAACUCUACGACCCCGCCAACUCCAGCACGUACGCACCUAUCCCCUGCGGCUCCCCUGCCUGCACGGAGCUCGGUAGCAGCCACAGCAGUGGCUGCUCCGCCGGCUCCGACCAAUGCAAGUACAUCCUCGACUACGGCGACGGCAGGGCCACCGCCGGGACAUACGUCACCGACACGCUGACCUUGUCGCCCACCAUCGCGGUCAAGGGCUUCCGGUUCGGGUGCAGCCACGCCGUGAGGGGCACCUUCAGUGACCAGACCGCGGAGACCUUCGGCAACGCCUUCUCCUACUGCGUCCCGCACCCGAGCUCCGAUGGAUUCCUCUCGCUGGGCGGGCCGGUGGGGAACUCGUCGCAGUUCACGAGCACGCCUCUNNNNNNNNNNCUCUGA
rnacentral:rRNA from 1 species